rnacentral:tRNA from 1 species
GGAGCCGUGCCUGAAUGCCCAAGGGCCACUUUGAUAGAGUGAAUUAUGAGGGUUAAAGUCCCCCCAGCUCCU